rnacentral:rRNA from 1 species
GACGGAGGAUGCAAGCGUUAUCCGGAAUGAUUGGGCGUAAAGCGUCCGCAGGUGGCAGUUCAAGUCUGCUGUCAAAGACCGGGGCUUAACUUCGGAAAGGCAGUGGAAACUGAACAGCUAGAGUAUGGUAGGGGCAGAGGGAAUUUCCGGUGGAGCGGUGAAAUGCGUAGAGAUCGGAAAGAACACCAACGGCGAAAGCACUCUGCUGGGCCGACACUGACACUGAGAGACGAAAGCUAGGGGAGCGAAUGGG